AACGAACGCUGGCGGCAGGCCUAACACAUGCAAGUCGAACGCCCUGGCAACAGGGAGUGGCAGACGGGUGAGUAACGCGCGGGAACGUGCCCUUCGGUUCGGAAUAACUCAGGGAAACUUGAGCUAAUACCGAAUACGUUCGAGAGCAGAAAGAUUUAUCGCCGAAGGAUCGGCCCGCGUCCGAUUAGCUAGUUUGUGAGGUAAUGGCUCACCAAGGCGACGAUCGGUAGCUGGGCUGAGAGGAUGAUCAGCCACACUGGGACUGGGACACGGCCCAGACUCCUACGGGAGGAAGCAUGGGGAAAUAUUGGACAAUGGGCGCAAGCCUGUUCCAGCCAUGCCGCGUGAGUGAUGAAGGCCCUAGGGUUGUAAAGCUCUUUCGCCAGGGACGAUAAUGACGGUACCUGUAUAAGAAGCCCCGGCUAACUUCGCGCCAGCCGCCGCCGUAA
rnacentral:rRNA from 1 species